UUACAGCCAUAUCACAUUGAAAUACUGGUUCCAGUACGAUCACCGAAGUUAAGCAACGUCGAGCAUAGUCAGUACCUAGAUGGGUGACCGCUUGGAAAUUGCAGAUG